rnacentral:rRNA from 1 species
CAUGCAUGCCUAAGUACAGCUCGGUGGUAACACCGGGCGAAACCGCAGACGGCUCAUUAAAUCAGUUGUGGUCUAAGUGGGCGACAGUUUUCCCUAGUUGGAUAACUGUGGAAAAUCCAGAGCUAAUACAUGCGACUCAUAGUCCUGAGCAAACGCCGUACUUGUACGGUUAUUAACUCGGGAUGCUUUUAUUAGACCGAGGCGCGCGCAUACGUGAUUUAGCACCUCGUUUCGGCGAGACUGCGGUCAUUUGUGCGACGUGGUAAGCGCUUAAAGGUGACUCUGGAUAACAUUGAUAAGCGUGGCUUAACUGACACGCUGCCUACUUACGAGUGACUGACCUAUCAGCUACUAAUGUAUGUUAUACGCGAACAUUGGCUGUGACGGGUAACGGGGAAUCAGAGUUCGAUUCCGGAGAGGCAGCCUGAGAAACGGCUACCACGUCUAAGGACGGCAGCAGGCACGCAAAUUACCCAAUCCCAGCACAUGGGGGAGGUAGUGACGAUAGAUACUGAUGCGGGUCGUUCUUCGGAACACUCGCAAUUGGAAUGGAUAUUUUCUAAACACACUAAUGAGAACCUACUGGAGGGCAAGCCUGGUGCCAGCAGCCGCGGUAAUUCCAGCUCCAGUGGCGUAUGCCAAUGUUGCUGCGGUUAAAAGGCUCGCAGUUGAAUGUCAGUUAAUAUACGCGUAGAGGUGCCGGGACGUUGCGAGCUUCUUUCGUCAGAUCGUUGCGAGCCGUCUCUCCAAGUGCAUCUCUCGCGGGCUAACGAUUCGAUUAGCGGGAUUGGUGAUGAUGACUUUCGGGUUAUCGUUGCCGCUUCCCGUUAGUUGACACCUUGAGUAAAUCAGAGUGCUUAAAGCAGUCGUUGAAACACUACGGCUGCGACUUACCCUUGCGGGCUUAGUCGUGUGUCUGGUGACGGUGCGAGCCGUUUGGACAUUGUCUUUGCUUUGCAUGGUACGUCGAAAGACGCCGUGUGAGUUGGUCGCGCUUACGGUUAUGUCGCACCUCCGGAGUGCGCGUGCGCCAACGAGCACGGAAUGAUCUGAAAGGGAUGGCUCGAAGGCAUUGGUAUUGCGGGGCUAGAGGUGAAAUUCUAUGACCCCCGCAAGACUACCCGAAGCGAAAGCGUCUGCCUAGGACGUCUUCAUUAAUCAUGAACGAAAGUUGAAGGAUCGAAGGCGAUCAGAUACCGCCCUAGUUGCAACUGUAAACGAUACCAACCAUCAAUCCGUCAUAGCGUUCUCUUUUGCUCACGGAGUCGAGCUUGCUCUCUUCGUGGGCUGAGUGUAAGCGCUCGAUGGGCAGCUCUUUUCGGACGGAAAACCAGAGUUUUUCGGUUCCGGGGGGAGUCUGGUUGCAAAGCUGAAACUUAAAGGAAUUGACGGAAAGC